rnacentral:lncRNA from 1 species
UUAAACGUGACAGAUAGAUCUCCCCCGACUCCCACUGAAACUCUACAUGAUAAACAGCAGAAAAAGAAAAAGAAAAGAAAAUAAUUAACUUUACAAAUAUUAAAUGUUUCUUGAAAGUAAACUGAACAUUGAUGACGUUUUACGGACUAUGAAUACUGAAUUAUGGAUUACUCUAUGAUUGAAAGAAACUUUAAAAACAUGUAUAGACAUGUAAAACUGACACAAGGCUGUAUUAAGUACAGUAUAUAUUUACAAUAUGUACACUUUGCUAUGCAAUUAAUUCUGUAAUAGUAAACAGAUUAUACUGAUGUAUGCUCCCUAUUGUAACAGAUACUUUUAUUUAAAAUGUAUAAUGGUGUAUAUUCUAAUACUAAGCGUUUAGACAAUCAUUUGUUUGUACGCCUGUUCAAGACACUGUCUUUUCCUUCAUGUGUUAUAAUGUUAAAGGAAAAUAAGUUUCGUGUCCAUUGGCGUAUAUUAUGCAAAUUUGCAUAUAUUAUUCUUUUUUUCAUUUCGUAAGAUUGAUAGGUUGCAAAAAUUUGCUGAUUGUUCUGUAUGCGCUUUUAAAUAUGGCUGUAAAUGCACUCUCAUCCAGAAUCAUACAAAUGAAUUUUUUGACUCUGCACACUAGUGUCGAAAAAAACAUAAUUACGUUUAUGACACAUAUAAGAAUACAGUAUAUGUGUAACAGUAUAAAGUAUACGUACCCCUGUGUCGGACAAAUAGUAACAUUAAUAGUAACAAUUUACGCCUUCCACGAAGUUUUCGUGCGUUACAUUAUAUUAUUGGAUAUAUUUAGUACACUCCCAUUUUUCGUUGAAAUAUUUAAACAUAUAGUAUUCGGCAGGUCGUCAGUUUAAUAGUUCUUGCUGAAACUGUAAAUAAUGUCACAAGUAUUUUUUUUUCGUAUGUAUGCUUUACGAUGGCUAUUAUUUAUUAUAUAUGUAUUGUUGUAUACUUUAAGACAUCCUUUUAAAAUUAGUACUUGAUAUUAAUGAGUGAAUCAAAACUAAGUUUCUCAAACAAUCACUUUAUUUCUUUAAAUGCACAAGGUUUAAACGAUAGAAAAAAAUUGUCAAGGAUGCUGGAAUGGUUAAAGCAACAAAAGGCACAAAUAGUCUUUUUACAAGAAACUCAUUUUUCACCAACUAUUCGAAAAGAUUUACUUUUACAAACUUCUGAAUGGGAUGUAUUCCAUUCGUUUGGAGCAACAAACAGUAGGGGAUGUUCUAUCUUUAUUCUAAAACACAUUAAUUAUAAACUCAUUGAUGAAUUUUAUGAUGCAUAUGGUAGAUACGUAAUUUUAAACAUUGAACUGAAUAAUAAUACGUAUACACUCGUAAAUAUUUAUGCACCAAAUGAUAAAAAAACUCAGAAAUACAUUCUUCAAUAACUUAAGUGAUCUAAUUUCAGAGAGCUGUCAAGGACUUAAACUAAUAGGUGGAGAUUUUAAUGAUACUUUAACAACAAAUGAUAGAGUAUGUAGAUCUCAAAAAGAAAAUAACAUUAAGAAUAUUCCAGUAGAAACUCUGACAAAAUUGAUUAAAGUUCAUAAUUUGAUAGAUAUAUGGAGGCAAACAAAUGGAAAAAUAGAACAAUUUACUUGGCGUAGAAAAAAUAGCAUGGAAAGGAGUAGAAUAGUCUUUUGGUUAAUUGAUGAAAAUAUUGUACCCCUUAUACUUUCAACUGAUAUUUAGUGUUUCAUCUAGCGCUAUUUAGCCUGGCGCAGCGCCAGGCCCUUUUAAGCCCCGCCCACUUGCCCUAACUGCCGCCCGAAACUCUUAAAAGUGCCCUUUUUUCACUCCGCCCACCCGUUAAUUGCCGACAUUAGCAGCCUUAAUUAAUCCGUUACACACGUCAUGUAUACUGUAGUAUGCCCUUAGGCGUGUAUCGAAAGUCGGUCGAUACGGUAGUAAAUAUCAGCUGACAAGUGUGGUGUGUAUUCAUCACAGCACGCGCUGUGUUAAACAUGUUUAAAGUGGAGAGCAAUAAUUAUACAUAAGUAGCGGCGAGUUGAAUAUUUGUUAUGUAUGAUAAACGUUUUGUUUUCACGAGUGAGUGAAUCAAUUACAUUAUGAAAUGGAUUAAUUAAUGUGAAUGAUAAAGGAUUAAAGACGUUUUACGGUUUACGAUAUUAAUUAAUUAUUGUGUUAGAAAACUUAUUCCCAAAGAAGAUUUGAAAAUAACUGACGACGUAAUUACUGCGGCGUGGAUCUAAAACGUAAUUGGAAUCAAUUUACAGCACCAAUACAGGCACAGAGGUUGCAAUAGAAACCACUGUUACGGAAACGUCGGUACCACAGAACAGGAAAAUCCUGAAACCCCACAAGAUUGGUAGUGAUAAAGCCAAGCACAAAGUGUUUUCUUUUGUGUAACACUAGAGACUAUAUCUUACCUGUUUAUAUCAUUUGAUAUCAUGUAUCUAUUUAUAUCAUUAGUAUCAAGAAAUUAGAGAAAAGCCAAUUAUGUGUAAGGUUGUACAUAAUAAAAGUGUUCUAAACUGUU